AGUAACUAAAUGUGUACAUAAUAUGUAACCACAGUGUAAGUACAGAUUGGUACAUAGUAUCUACAGCUCUAAUGUUUGUGUAACUACACAUAUGUAACAACCCACUGAAUGGUAUGUGUAAGUACAAAUGUGCAACAGGACAUUGGUAACAACACUUUUUGGUAAUGAAAGUACAAAUGUGUAACGAAAGUGUUACACUUUAUAUUAGAUUUAUCAUGUAAUUACUCUGAUGUUACACAGCAGCGGCCAGUAAGUUAGGCUUUACAUAGAAAUUGUGGUUGGUGUCCAGAAUGUUACACUUUAUAUUGUGGACAGUUCAUGAGGAGUUACCAUGUAAGUACACUGGUAUUACAGUGGUGCACCAACUCCUACUCAAAAUCCAACUCCUCCCACUUUACAUAUCCCUAAACCUACCCAUCUCCACCCCCUGGAUCCUAUUUCACCCCUAUACCUACCCAUCGCUGUAGAUACUAUGUACUAAUGUGUACCUACACUGUGGUUACACACUACAUACACAUUUAGUUACUAUGUAAGUACACAGGAAUUAGGGACACAAUAUAAAGUGGGACCGAAAUGAAAAAAAAAUAAAUAAAUAAAUAAAUAAAUAAAUAAAAUAAGUAAUGUGUAAUAAAAUGGAAUGACACAAGGAAAAAGUAUUAAACUACUGAAAUGUAAUAUGUCAUACAAAAGCCUUUGUUGGUAAUGACAGCUUCAAGACGCCUCCUGUAUGGAGAAACUAGUCACAUGCAUUGCUCAGGUGUGAUUUUGGCCCAUUCUUCCACAGUCUUCAAAUCUUGAAGGUUCUGUGGGCCUCUUCUAUGAACUCUGAUCUGUAGUUCUUCUUUUCUAUUGGAUUCAAGUCAGGUGAUUGGCUGGCCAUUCUAGCAGCUUAAUUUUCUUUUUCUGAAACCAAUUGAGAGUUUUCUUGGCUGUUUUUGGGAUCAUUGUCUUGCUGAAAUGUCCACCCGUGUAUCAUCUUCUUCAUCCUGGUACUGUACAGUAGGUGUUGGGACUAAACCAGCUAAUAUUAAUUUCCAUUGACAAGGGAUUGACAGUAUUGUUUUCUAAUUACUGAUAGAUUUGGCUUUCCAUGCCUUUUUGCACCUCCCUUUCUUCAUGUGUUCAAUACUUUUUCUCUAGGGUCAUCCCAUUUUAUUACACACGACAAUUUCAGAAAUUAUUUGUUCUUUGCAUAUACUUACAUCUGGUGAAAAUUUCAAGUCAACAGCAACUUUGGAAAUAUAUUUACUGAGAAAAAUGGUGAUGUGCUCAAUACUUAUUUUAACCACUGUAUAUAUAUAGUCGGAAAAGAAACUUAAUAAACAUAUAAAAUUGUAUCAGGCUUUUAGACCAAAUGCAUGUUGCCAAUUCAAUAAAUCUUGUAAUUCUUUCAUGCAACAGUGGACAGCUGAAUUGCUUGAUUUAUGGGAUUGUUUGAAUGAGAUACACAGAUAUGAAGCAGAAAAAGUCCUACCAGAAUGAAGACUUAUGUAGCACUGACAUUGGACUCAUGACCACAGUGGGCUGAACCAACGGUACAGUUGGCUGAACAACCCUUACAGCGGGCUGAACCAAUGAUACAGUGGGCUGAACAACCCUUACAGUGGGCUGAACCAAUGAUACAGUGGGCUGAACAACCCUUACAGCGGGCUGAACAAAUGAUACAGCAGGCUGAACGGAGACCCCAGUCACUGCUACUGCUGGUGUUGGUAUUUGUAUGUUCAUUUCUUCUUGUUCUACUGUAAGUGUACUAAAUGAUCUUGAUGGUUUUCUUUUUCGUUUCGUGCUCAGCUGAGAUGCUCCUCGCUGGACACUGGUUCCUCUGCAGUGAGUCUUGUGCUUGUAUGAAUUUUGUCUUCUGAUGGAGAUGUAUAGAUGCAGG
ensembl:lncRNA